AUUUACCUCGGGAGCACAAAAAUUGAUGUCAUCAUCCUUGUCCCGGCGACUCUGAAUCGAAAAGUAAGAAGAAGCAGUUUUCAUCAUCACGAUAUGGUUCGAUUCUAUCCAGAAUCAAUAGCAUAGCCUAAACAUCACUAGCCUUUCCUCCGUUUUCUCUCAUUUCCUCAUGGGUUUGCCCGAAACUGUUGAUUUUGCCCGCAACUUCGCCGUCAUGGUCAGAGUACACGGCCCUGUAAGUAUCUCUCUGUUCAUACUUAUGAAAAUACAUGCCUUUGUUUGUGUGCUGUGUGCGUUAAUGUUGUUGGAAGUUCUUUUAGGAUCCGAAAGGGCUCAAGAUGCGAAAUCAUGCUUUUCAUCAAUACAAUUAUGGAAAGACAACACUUUCAGCUUCUGGGAUGCUAUUGCCUGUUACCCUUUACGAGGCUGGCUUGGCAAAGCGAAUUUUGGGCAGCAAUGGUAAGGAGGGUCAGGCUCUGGCGCUGAUUGUGACUGUUGCUUCUGUUGUCGAGUCUUUCUUGUCACCGAAACAGAGAGAUAGCAUUUCUCAGGGCCGACCCGAGAUGAUUCCUGGCGCUCAGAUUGAUGUUCUGUUAGAGGAAAAGUUGCGCUUGGAGGGGGAUGCUGAGGGGAGUUUAAAUAAAAGUGCUUCUUCUUGGUUCACUGCUGAACUUAUACGAUUGGUCGAUAUUCCUGAAUCUUCCUUUGCUGUCCAAUCACUCGUUGAAUCCUCAUCAGGCUCACUAGAUCAUGGAUGGGAGGUUGGUUGGUCUCUUGCGUCAUAUGAUAAUGGUCCUCGAAAUUUUAUGGAUGUAACUCAAACACAGACUGAGGAUGGUAAUACUUCUUUCAUGGAGGGACACAGGCAUUUGGCAAUGGGGGAAUCUUGCAAUACCAGCCUUAUGAGCAAGAAAACUACUAGAAUUGCUAUUCUUGGCGUCUUCUUAAGUUUGAAGGUUCUGCCGAACAUUGCAAUUACAUUUUCUAAUAGAAGAGGGGAUUCUCUUUUAGCAGUGGGUUCUCCUUUUGGUGUCCUGUCACCUCUGCACUUCUUUAACAGCUUGUCAGUGGGAUCUAUUGCCAAUUGCUAUCUGGCUAGAUCAUCUACCAUUUCAUUGCUAAUGGCUGACAUUCGGUGUCUUCCAGGAAUGGAAGGUGUUCCAGUUUUUGGUGAUCAUGCACAUUUAAUUGGCAUUUUGAUUAGGGCAAAAGAGUAGUGAUGCUGAAAUUCAGCUGGUGAUUCCGUGGGAAGCCAUUGCAACUGCUUGCAGUGGCUUGCUGCUGAAGGAGCCCAAAAUUGCAGAAAAAGGGACCCAUAUUAGCCACUUAAUUCUCAUCGCCCUCCCUUCAUCACUGCCAGUUGAGAGGGUAAUGGCUUCUGUUUGUCUUAUUACCAUUGAUGAAGGUGUAUGGGAUCUGGGGUUCUGCUCAAUGAUCAAGGCUUGAUCCUCACCAAUGCUCGCCUGUUAGGACCAUGGAGUUUUGGGAAAACAACUGCAAAUGGCAGAAGGGAUGGAGCAAAGUCACAGGCAGUUUUCCUCCUGCCUGAAGAAUCUGCAUUUCCUGGCUACAGCAAUGUUGACAACCACGAGAAGAGUCACAGGUUGCAACCAGAGGCAGUAAGAGAAUGAAUUUCUCUGUGGUUGAUCAAAGCAAUGGAUAUCAAUUGAGUUUGUCUUACAAAGGCCAUAGAAAUAUACGUGUUUGCUUGGAUAAUGUCAACCCUUGGAUUUCUUGUGAUGCUAAAGUAGUAUAUAUUUGCAAGGGUCCUUUGGAUGUUGCCCUACUGCAGCUUGAAUGCGUUUCAGAUCAACUUUGCCCUAUCAAGUUGGGUUUUGCUUGCCCAAUUUUGGGGUCAAAGGCAUGUGUUAUUGGACAUGGACUCUUUGGACCAACAUGUGGUAACAGGCUUCUUUUAUGUCUCUUUGGACUGUCUGAGUGACCUUGGAAAAGAAUCCGUAUGCUUAAUUUUUGUUCAUUUCAUGCAUAGAUGUGUUUCCUUAUUUUUAGAUUUUUCUUUCAGGAAUGAUGCUUUCAAUUGUUUAGCAUCAAAAUGUUAGAUCCCUUUUCUAUAGUUACCUCAUUCCAGUUUCCUGUUGAUUAGAGAACUUCGUAUGUGAUUGAUGUUGAUACAUGUGCAGAAUAUCCAGUUCAGUGUUCAUCUAAACAUUCUGCUGGCUUCUUUCCUUUUAGAAGCUCUUUUGCUAUUGGCGUAUCAUUAACUAAGAUAUCUAUAGUAUAUUCCUUAUUAAAUAAUAAAUAUAUGAUGCAGGCUGUAAUCUUAGACAACGUAUUUAUGAAUGCAUGUUGCACUCUGUGAAGUUUAAUUUGUUUUGUCUAAAUAAUUGUAUAAAUCUCAUGUACUCUACCAAUAUGUUAAGAUCUAAGGCCUUAUCCUUUAAUCCAAAAUUUUGAGACUUUCAGAAUCAGAUGCGUUACUUGUCAUUUAUGCUGGUGUAUGUGGUGCAUGGAGAUUCAAUAUUGUUUUCUGGAUGAUUGGAAAGGGCUGAUUUAAUGUGCAUAUGUAUCCUCUGCUAAUUAAUUUUAUCUUUUUACUGAUAUAGAUAAUUCCUGUAGUUGGUAACUUUUAAAUAUUCUUGGUUCUGUUUCUAUACUUUGUCCUUUCCUCUGAACUUAAUUGAACUUUAAUUAUUGCAGGCUUUUCCCCUUCUGUUUGCUCUGGAGUGGUAGCAAAAAUAGUUAAAGCUGAAGCUCCUCCAUAUUAUCGACAGAAGGGGGAUCCCCAUUUUCCUGCAUUGCUUGAAACAACAGUUGCUGUCCACCCUGGCGGUAGUGGUCGUUUUGUCAUUAAUCCAAAAGAUAGAAGUACUGUAUUUAAUUAGAUGUAUUCUCGAUUCGGCAAUGCCAGGCAUGGUGGAGGAUAAUUAUAUCACAUCUUAACUUCAGCAUUCCCUGUGCACUAUUGACGCCUCUCUCCGACUUUGCAAAAGGUUGUUUACCAUAACUUCUGCUUUGAGAAGAUAGUUGAUCAUGAAAUGAAGCUAAUCUAAAUUAUUCCUGCACAAUGCGUGCAUCAAGUUAACCAUUCCUAAUGUAAUAUACUUGUGUACUCCAAAUCUAUGAAUACUGAAGAACAAAAAUUUUGAAAAUGUUACCAUGAUAAAAUUCUUAACUCUUGUUAUAUAUAAGCAGUAGUCAAGUCAAAUAAAGAAUUUAAAAUAGUUAUAAAACAAGAAAUGUUCCAUGUGUUUUCUUUUACGUUGCCUGAAUUUUAUAAUUUAGUUUCAGGCAAGUGUAAUUGUGAUAUCUGAUGAAUCUGGUUGUCUUGAGACAGAUGUGCAGGAUAUUUCACUUCUGCAGAAUCUUGAUCAGCCUAAUCAACACCUUUCUUCAGUAUGGGCAUUGAUGCCUCCACUCUCCCCCAAGCCGAGCCCUCCUCUUCCUAAUCUACCAUUGUCACUUCCGGAAGAUAAUGACAAGAAAGAGAAGGGUUCCAAAUUUGCUACAUUCAUAGCUGAUAGAAACAAUGAUUUGAGAAGCUCCACUCAACUGGGCAAGGUGAGAAAAACGUCUAGUGAGAUUUUUCCUAGUAAGUUAUGACAAUAUACCUUUCUGUACCAAACGAAGAAGAUAUCAUCAACAUGAUAGUGGAAUCACGUAUGGAAAUCUUUGUUACCAUAACUUCUCAUCCAUGUUCCCAAACUGGACGAAGAAUGUUCAGGGAAAGAAGAGCUUGGGGAGAGUUGAGAUUUGUAACCUAGUCUAAAUUUAAAUACAAGCAAAAUAAUAAUCCUGUACACAGAAUAUAAAGACGCCUUCUUUUGGUUAUAUGAUUUUUAUUGCAUUUGUUUAUUGACGAAAAGGGAUUCAUGUAGUGUCAUUCUGCUGAACCAGUUUAAGUCUGUAUUCCAUUGUGAUGCGUAAUUUCUUUCCCUUCAAAUUUCCUCUGUAUAGGAUUAU
rnacentral:misc_RNA from 1 species